rnacentral:rRNA from 1 species
GACGAACGCUGGCGGCGUGCUUAACACAUGCAAGUCGAACGGUGAAGCGCCUUCCUUUUUGGUGGGUGUGGAUGAGUGGCGAACGGGUGAGUAACACGUGAGUAACCUGCCCCCUUCUUCUGGAUAACCGCAUGAAAGUGUGGCUAAUACGGGAUAUUCUGGGUCUGUCGCAUGAUGGGUCUGGGAAAGAUAUUGUUUCGGUGGGGGAUGGGCUCGCGGUCUAUCAGCUUGUUGGUGGGGUGAUGGCCUACCAAGGCGGUGACGGGUAGCCGGCCUGAGAGGGUGGCCGGUCACACUGGGACUGAGACACGGCCCAGACUCCUACGGGAGGCAGCAGUGGGGAAUAUUGCACAGUGGGCGCAAGGCUGAUGCAGCGACGCCGCGUGAGGGAUGGAGGCCUUCGGGUUGUGAACCUCUUUCGCCAGUGAAGCAGGCCUGCCUCGUUUGUGGGUGGGUUGACAGUAGCUGGAUAAGAAGCGCCGGCUAACUACGUG